CGGCCGCGUCGACAACGCGAAGAACCUUACCAAGACUUGACAUAUACGAGAACGGGCCAGAAAUGGUCAACUCUUUGGACACUCGUAAACAGGUGGUGCAUGGUUGUCGUCAGCUCGUGUCGUGAGAUGUUGGGUUAAGUCCCGCAACGAGCGCAACCCUCGUCCUAUGUUGCCAGCACGUAAUGGUGGGAACUCAUGGGAUACUGCCGGGGUCAACUCGGAGGAAGGUGGGGAUGACGUCAAAUCAUCAUGCCCCUUAUGUCUUGGGCUUCACGCAUGCUACAAUGGCCGGUACAAAGGGCUGCGAUACCGUAAGGUGGAGCGAAUCCCAAAAAGCCGGUCUCAGUUCGGAUUGAGGUCUGCAACUCGACCUCAUGAAGUCGGAGUCGCUAGUAAUCGCAGAUCAGCAACGCUGCGGUGAAUACGUUCCCGGGCCUUGUACACACCGCCACAUCAAGCGUCGACGCGGC
rnacentral:rRNA from 1 species